CUUAGGCUUAGCUGAUGCUCUUGCUCUCUCUCUCGUUCUAUCCCUCUUGCUGCCCAAGCAGAUCGACUUGCAAGCUUCGAUUGUCUCGAGACGCAUACUUGCUUAGCAGACCGGCAGAUAUUCUCUUGGUACAGCGGCCAUAGCUAGAUGAGUAGGUGCACUGUAGUUUAAUUUGGCGGAUAUAGGUCCUAAGGUGUAUAUAUGCCGAUGGGUGUGCCCUAAUGGUAGAUGGCUGACCUGCCCGAGGAACCGUCGACUGCGUCCUCGACAGCUCCUCCUCCUCAAGU
rnacentral:lncRNA from 1 species